rnacentral:lncRNA from 1 species
AUGGCACGGGUGCCCCCGCCGCCCGCCCGGCUCCGGCCCAGCCCCGAGGAGGCUGAGCCUAACGCGGCGCCCCCGGGACCGCCGGCCCCUACCGCCGUCCUUGCCCGAGCGCCGGAGCAGCUAGCGGCUGGCUCGCGGCUGUCCCCGGGGGGGCAGAGCGGCGGGGUCCCCCGGGUGCCCCCGCGUCCUCGCGGCGCGGCUGGCGGCGGGCGCUCGGCGGCGCCCGGGCUCCUCCGCUCCCGCCGCAGCGCUCGCUGCUGCUGCUGCUCUUCGCUUCAUUCUGGACUUCAGCAGCCCCCAGAGCUGUUGUGUGUAAUUAGCAGAUCCUCCCCCUCUCCCUCCCCUUCCUCCCCUCCUCCUCCUCCCCCCCCCCCCGCUCAGCCUCCCAUCCCAGCGCCCAGCUCGGGCUCCAUCCGUCGCUGCCAGCACCGCUGCCCUCCCUGCCGAGAGCCCGCGGCGAAGGCAGGCAGGGAAGGGAGGACCAGGGCAAAGCCGGCUCGGGGCUCCCCGGCUGCCGGAGUCCUGCCCCUUAACGCGGACCCCGUCGCUCCUCGCGGCGCUGCUCCGCUCAAGGACGCCAGCGCCAACGCCAGCGGCGCGCGGGCAGCCGGGCGCCCCGCUCCCGGACCUGGGGGCACCAGGGACCCCAAACUUUCCCCUGUCUGCCCCGCGCGGAGCCGGCCCCGAAGCGCGCCGUGCCCAAGGCCGGCCCUUCGGCUGCCCUCGUCACCCCCCGGCGUGCCCGUCCCCCCUCUCCCCCCCGCGCCCGCUCGGGGAUCGUUGCGCAGUGGAAAGACAUCCCGCGUAUUGACUUGCACUCAAAUCUUAUCGGCCUCCCGAGGCUCCUGGAUUGCUUUCACCCUGGCAGGGCUUGAAAAAGGCAUAAAUAAAUCAAUUGAUCUGAUGCCGCUGCAGCUGCAACCUGCGAGAUGGCAGGUCCCGUCUGGUCCCCUCCCGACCAGGACCUCUCGGGGUCCCCACACAACCCUCCUACGCGGGGGUCCGAGCGCCAGGGCUGCGGGACCCCCCAGGGACCCAGGUUCAGGGAGGGGGACAGGGCCUAGCGGCGAGGUCCGGAGGGCUCCCGGGCCCGGUUUGGCCCAGCGCCACAUCCAGCCCACGCGGCACAGGACGCCCCACGGGAGAGCAGCGCCCCGUUGCGCGGAGGGCUGCAAAACCAGCGGCGCGGGAGCUCACCUCCUCCGGAAACCAGCCUGGACCCCUUUGGUGCAGACGGGGAAACUGAGGCAGGGAACCCAGCGCCGUCGGCAGAUUCGGGCUUUGAGCACCGGCAUUAUGCGGUAG